AGGGCGGCGCGGCCAGGCGCGCCCUGGGCUCCGGUGACCGCGGCUGUGCUCUGGGCGUCUUUCUGUUCUGGGGUCCCCGUGUGGUCUCCUCAGCUGUCUCACACACUUAGACCCGUUUUCCAGUUGAGCGUCUCCCCAAGGAGCAGAGUUUGAGGCGCGGGUGCAGGGGUGCUGCGUGAGGGUACUUUCUGGAUGCGAGAGGACGAGAAAACAACACUGAUCUGAAAGGUGUGGGUACUUUCUAGUAAUUGGAAAGCAACAUCGUCCGAGACUCAAAAAGAGGUGUAAAGAUAAGAACCAUCUUUUGCCUGCUCUAGGACCUUCAAACCACCGCCACCACCUCACGCGUGCCCGACCGCGCUCCCGGUAGCGAGGUGAGGUCUCUUGACCCCAGGCUGUACGCGAGGGCUCGCUGGGGAUUUACUCGCUGCCACUGGGUGGGCAUGGGGGUCUUGUUUAUUUAAGUCUAUCCAUCUGCAACAGGAGUAGAUGCGAAAUGGACUUUUUUUCAGCUCAAAUCAGCCCGAACCCCUCGGGCAGGUGAGGGGUGCCGGCGACGCAGGAAAGGUGGACACCACAUUCUCAAGGCUCUGCAGUGAGUCAGACACGCGAGUCCUGACUCCAUGCCGAGUCCUGGACUCACAAGACAGCUCCUCACUGUUGCAAUUGCAAAGCGUUGGCAUCAGAACUGCUGAACAGUCAAACGAGUAGUCAUAGAUUUGGGGGGAGGGGCCGGGGGCGGAUACACUGCGCCUUGGGUUUACAUCUUCCCACGUCUUCAAGGGAAGCUUUGAGGCUUUUUAUGCUCAUCUUUGCCAUUGGUCAGCUGGAUUCAGAGUCAUCCUGUGGGUGCUGGAAUAUCUAGAAGUUUUGUCUGCUUCCCAGACAAAAAUAAAACAUCAAAGGCAUUUUAGUGAUAAUCCUCGGAGAACUAAACCGGUCAAAACUGGAGAGAUUCAUUUUUGCUUCCAUUAAAAAAAUUUUUUUUAAAAAAUCAAACCUUUAAAAUUAGGCAAAUUUUGUAUGAAAGAAUAAAGCAGAUAGCCAUUCAGGGUAGAACACAGGAGUUCAAAUCCUACCAGGGAAAGGUAUCUUCCCUGCACUAACUUGUUUCAGCAAUGCGUUAUGGCUUAUUUUUGACAUGCAAAUACGAAAA